GAUGAAACUUAGUAGACUUCUUCGGAAAGACACUAAGCGGAUUAGUGGCGAACGGGUGAGUAACGCGUGAGUAACCUGCCUUACACAAGGGGAUAGCCUUUGGAAACGAAGAAUAAUACCCUAUAAAACCAUAAAAGCACAUGCUAGAAUGGUCAAAGUGAUAGCGGUGUAAGAUGGACUUGCGUCUGAUUAGCUAGUUGGUGAGAUAAAAGCUCACCAAGGCAACGAUCAGUAGCCGGCUUGAGAGAGUGUACGGCCACAUUGGGACUGAGACACGGCCCAGACUCCUACGGGAGGCAGCAGUGGGGAAUUUUGCACAAUGGGGGAAACCCUGAUGCAGCGACGCCGCGUGAUUUAGAAGGCCUUCGGGUUGUAAAAAUCUUUUGUAUAGGAAGAAAAUGACAGUACUAUACGAAUAAGGUCCGGCUAAUUACGUGCCAGCAGCCGCGGUAAUACGUAAGGACCGAGCGUUGUCCGGAAUCAUUGGGCGUAAAGGGUACGUAGGCGGCUAGAAAAGUUAGAAGUCAAAGGCUAUAGCUCAACUAUAGUAAGCUUCUAAAACUAUUUAGCUUGAGAAAUGGAAGGGAAAGUGGAAUUCCUAGUGUAGCGGUGGAAUGCGCAGAUAUUAGGAAGAAUACCGGUGGCGAAGGCGACUUUCUGGCCAUUAUCUGACGCUG
rnacentral:rRNA from 2 species